rnacentral:rRNA from 1 species
UUGACGCUGGCGGCAGCCUAACACAUGCAAGUCGAGCGGAUGAAGGGGCUUGCUCCCUGGAUUCAGGCGGCGGACGGGUGAGUAAUGCCUAGGAAUCUGCCUGGUAGUGGGGGACAACGUUCCGAAAGGAGCGCUAAUACCGCAUACGUCCUACGGGAGAAAGUGUGGGAUCUUCGGACCUCACGCUAUCAGAUGAGCCUAGGUCGGAUUAGCUAGUAGGUGGGGUAAUGGCUCACCUAGGCGACGAUCCGUAACUGGUCUGAGCGGAUGAUCAGUCACACUGGAACUGAGACACGGUCCAGACUCCUACGGGAGGCAACAGUGGGGAAUAUUGGACAAUGGGCGAAAGCCUGAUCCAAGCCAUGCCCGUGUGUUAAGAUAGGUCUUCGGAUUGUAAGCACUUUAGUUGGAAGGAAGGCAGAAGUUAAUACCUUGCUGUUAUGACGUCUUCCAAAA